UGUAUUUGCUCAACUGUGCUUCUUCGCGCACUUGAAAAUUAUGUAAACUGCAUGCUGUAUUGGUAUUGUAUUGGUAGUUUUAAGCAUGUCUUUCUUUGAUGCCCAAUUCCGAAAAUUGAAGUUUGUUGGUUAUAAUCUAGAGCUAGAGGUUUGUGUGCUUGUUUGUAGCGAUUUAAGUUUGUAUGGGGGAUGCUUUAUUCAAUAACUAAAGCAGUAAAAAUAUACCAUAUUUAAUGCAAAUCAAACGUUUGUAUCUAACUGUCCUAAAAGAAUAUGACUCGCUUAACGUGAACAGUUUAUUAUUAUAUUGAAUACUAAUAUCUACUUAUUUGAAUAUGCCCUUUAUUUGAACGCAACACGCGUUAGUUGUAUUAUUUACGUGGCAAUUAUUAGUAACCGCAUAAAGCUUUUAUAUUUUGAAACAAACUAUUGUAACAUAAUUUAAAUUACCUACGUUAUUUGUUUAUGUACAAUUAAUUAUUAAUGAAUUUAUAACUGUCCUUCAAUAGAUUGAUUUAUAACAGGUGUUAUACCUAUACCCUCACUUAUAGAGCGCGAAUGUCAGUAUUAUCACUGCGGCAUCGAUGUUGGAACUUAACUUAAACACGAUUCAAUUUGCUUAAUAGCGAACGAAUUAUGUAUGUCCGCUUCCGUUUCGUAUCGCUGGUAACUUAUCUUGAUGGGCGCUAGGUGGCGACCCGAAGUCUGGAUAUCUAGAAUAUUCGCUACACUAUGCAUAUACACAGUAUGUUCUUACGCAUUGAGCAAAGCAAAUGCAAUUAGCAAUUAAAAACAUUCGUUUAUUAUUGUCUAGGAUUAGCAGCAGGUGCUUGAAAUCCCUAAAUAUUUGCUGGUUCUUGAUUGGGCUUACUCACACCUCAUGCAACAAGCUAAGUUCGAUGCGGUUAAUUCUCUCACAUACAUUCAGUUUGUAUUGUGCAAUGUUACAUGUAAUGCAAAAAUGGUCGAUUAACAUGUUCCGUCGGUUGGUAUCUAUUUGCAGAUGCAUACUAAUAUAAUCACUUUGGUAUUCGCUUGCCCAAUUUGCGAUUUUAUACGCUUGAUCCGUAAUUGCGUCUAUCUUCUUCACCAGUCUACGGUGGAUUUCUAAUUUUUAGCAUGCUGCUUGCGGCCGUCAUUGCAAGAGUUUCGUCUAGAUCGCCAAAGCCUUCGCUUAAAGACACUUAAUCUAAGACAAAAAAUAAUUAUAUAUAUACGGGGUGCUUGAAAUAUAAGUAAUUAAAUCAACGUCAAAUGAACUAGAAAAAGUUCUCAAUAAGAAGUAAUAAUUGUCAAGAAUCGUUGAAACAAACAAAUAUGAACAAUUGAUAUACCUAGUACAAAAAAUACUGAAUUCUUUUUCGCCUGGGGUGGCGGGUGAUGAAAAAUUUUCCGUGAAUAUAGCCAGACGUGAUCCAACUCGUGCGCCACCAGCUUUUUAUGAUUAUGAUGAAUGAUGCCCUCUCGCAGGAAAGGAGACUUAUCUUGAGCUUGGACGCGGUUCUUCGUGGGAGAACAUGCUGCUGGAGAUGGAAACUUUGUUUUUCAGCUCCCAAAAUACCUACUCAUUUGUCACAGCUCCCACUAACUGAUGCGCGAUGUUACUACCAUUAUCUGUGCAUGAAAUUUCUAUGUUCCAAGGUAGCAAUAACUGCACUGAUCACUGUGUAUAAGGUUGCUAUUACCUACACUUAUUAAUUAGACUGCUUGUUCUACAAACUGACUUGAUGUGGGCUUAUGGUUCAAACUGUUUGCUUGCUUAGUAACUGUAAGACCUAUACGACUAUUAUUUGUACUUUUUACCAUAUUGAAUAUUCACCGAAUAACCACUAAAUAAGAAAUAGCAUGGGUCCGUUACCCUGAAAAGUAUAGCUUCUCUUUCUUCGAGCACUAGUAAAUACCUACAGUGGUAAAUUAUAAAACAAAUGCAAUUAAAACUACUUACAUGGUGUGAAAUUGAUUUAAUUAAGUAAUGUAUUGCUUGCUUAGUUGUGUGAUAAUUGCAAUGUGUACCUAGGUAUUAAAAUAGGUUUGGUAACACCAUUAUGUUCUGCUGCUUUCACAUUCGCUUGACAGGUUUGGUAUCAAGUUCUGUAUGGAAUUGUAAAAUGUUAAUUUUCUUAUAUUUAAUGAAUGUGGAAUGUGGUGCUUUUGAACUUACAAUGGAUUGUAUCAUGUAUCUCUUACUUGUUCGCUUCAGUGAAUAUCGAUCAUAUUUCUUGUCUUGAUACUUUUGAAAAAUUGCUUAUAAUAAAUUUACCUAGUGUACAUAAAUUUGGCUACAAUUUUAUGUUUUGGAAACGUAUUUCAAAAUUGAUGAAAGGGAGGUGGGAGGGACAAAAUUCAAAAUUUAGAAAGUGUACUAUCUCGCAACUACUGAAAAACAUUACGAACAUUAAGUCUCAAAAGUAGGCAUUAAUUUAUUCAACAUACAUCUACUAAAGGCAAACUAACCCUAAAGAUUAUCAUGAAUUUCGAAAUAGAAACUGGACGUCUUUUGUGCUAUAUCCGCACGCAUGACUACGUAGAUCUUAAUUUUCUUGUUUUUAAAAACUACUAACAGGUAAUGUUUUGUGUUGCAUUAAAUAGAGACGGCUGUACAUGUCUGGUAGUCUUGAUAUGCUUAGUAAUAAUAUAGUUACCUACUUGUUCUACUUUGCACUUUCUCAACUCGUGCUGAUAGUCAUCAUUUUUGCACUACCUCCUAGUCAUCUUCUGGUUGACAGAUUUCAUAAUAUGUUUACAUAAAAACUUGUCGUGAAUUUAAUUAUAUCGUGAUUUAAUAUGUACAAAGAGGUCACCAAGAAGAGGGCAUCCGAAUGUGACCCUGUUAAAUUAAAACACUCGUGCACUGGACGUCCCUUAACAUAGGAAAAAACCUGGCUAACUCAAAGUUAAAGUUUCCCAAAAAUAUGCAAUAAAUCGAAAUCUUGUUGACUAAUUGAAAACGGAGCUUUUCUUUAAAAUUUAAACUACUUAAAUUAAUAGAUACAAAAUGAGUUAUUGAACAGUAGGUAAAUUGAAAUCAUUACGAUUGAAAAACCAGAGUAACGAAAUUUUUACAAUACCUCUAUUCGUCUUCUAUUGACGUUGCUUCGAUCCUCAUAGAAAUUGUCUUGAUUCAAGAUUUCCCUACGUCGCCGUCGAAGGUCGUAUUCGUGGUAUAUGAAGUUGACAGGAAUCAACAAUGGUCCGAAAUAUGUAAAUAGAGUUGUCUUGCGUUCUGACCAGAUUUCCUUAGCGGAUUUAUACGGUUUCCUGAUGUGAAGGUGUGUCUUUGUUGUUAAUGGAUUAAUUAGUGCCGCUUAGAUUACGUAAUGCACGCGUAAAAUAUUUUAUUUCGUGCGAGUAUAGCUUUUCUAUGUUUAGUUAGCGUAAUUGUAAAGGAAAUUAAUUUUGUGUUGCUCAAAACUGCAAGAGAAAACCACUCACAUGAAGCUAGUACGAGGUUACGAAUUACAAAAUGCGAAUUAGAAAAUCUGCUACUGUAAUGAACGUAGUUUUCUUUGACGCCUGAAUUUUAUUUAGGAACCCCGUCUUUCAUCUAGUCACAAAAAAUGUAUAGUACCGGUUGAAAUUCUAAUUUUGAUUAAUACACACACAACACCCCUAAGCGUCUUUGAGGUUGGAGCUAUCCGCUUGAGAUUAAUUUUCUUAAAAUGUUCUCUUCACUUAAUCUGCCGCAAUGAUUUCACUAACAUUUACUUUCUUUAAAAAGUUUAGUUCGAUCCUUUCGCAAUUAAAAUUUCCGCAAAAGUCCUUACUGUAAGGAGAGUGAUGCUCGAACUACCUGCUUAAGCUGUAGCUGCUAAUCUAAAACGGAACCACCGCAAUUUUCGCGACCAGCGUCCCCUUUUCACCAAUCGCAAGCCCAAUUCUUAUCCAAUCUGUGGCCGCAGCGCUACAUAAAAGGGAAUCAACUAAACUGGAUGGUUCAUGCUAUCUCUGCUCAAAACUCACGCAUUCGAAACGCGCUUCGUUGUCUCGUCGUUAAACCUACUCGCGCUCACUCUUCAUAUGAAGCGGUACACAUGACCCUUUACACAUAUACAAUAUCACCCAAAACUUUUUCUUAACACGAAACUGACAAGGACAAUAUUCUACCCUUUACAUCUUACAUGAAUCUAUUUCACAAAGCUAUUUAGGUACCCUAAGACAUUUAAUAUCUAAAUCUAACUUGGGAAAAAAUUCCCCUAACUCGCAUUAACUCACUAAAUCAGUUUAAAUUCGCGCCUACACCGGACUGUGCCUUAUUUUAAUAUUACUGAUUCUGCAUCAAGAAGCUGUACCUAGGGAUUUUAGGAUGUUACACUCAUUAGCUUGAAGCGAUGCUGUUUGAAGGACAAAUAAAAGUUGUUAAUUCUACCACAGGAAUAAUUGGGAUCAAAUAAAAACUACAUGACAAAUAAUGUUUCGCGUAGGUACAGAAGGUGAAUUCAUAAGCAGAGAAUAUUUUUUUAUUUAUCUAUGCAAUUAGUGUGUUUUGCUUGAUUAUUAUUAGCGUGUAUAGGAUAACCAUUUUGAAAACAAUAGAUUGGCUGCUUCUUUGACCUAGUGAGUCGGCUUAUGUAUGACGUUGUAAUAAUGCCCUAUAGUGAUUUUGAUUAUAUGUGUAUACUUUGCUUAAGCUAUCUACUUUUGACUACAAUUUCGUUUUGGAAACUUAUUUCAAAAUUGAUGAAAGGGAGGCGGGAGGGACAAAAUUCAAAAUUUAAAAUUGUUGUCCAUAUUUAUGGAAAAUAUACUUUUUAAGUAUAAACUUCGUUAACAAACCAUAGUGAUGCUGUACAGUCGUUACUGUGAAAGCUUAAAGUUAGAAAAAAUGGACAAUCUGAGCAUCACUUUUCAAAAAUAGAAAAAAAGCAUAUUUUUUAAGAAAAGGCGAGUGUUUUGUUUUUUAAAACGUACAAUUGUAAUUCACAAGACCCCUGGAUCUUUAUUUUCUUGUUUUAGGUAGAUUUCUAUCUACCUAUUGCAAUAGUACCAGUAUAUUUAUAUGUUUAUUAUAGGUUUAUAUAUAUCACUCCCAAGAAACACUUUUGAGUUUCGUAAUUAUGAACCAAUUUCGACCAACCUCUAAAGGUUGAUAUGUAACUCAUAAAUAUCUCGGCCAAGUUCGUGAAUCAGCCAAUUCCGCCAUUUUGUUCCAAUGUGACCUUUGUAUCUUAAUGCGGUUAAAGAAAUCUACGUAGGAUUUUUAAAUAGUAGUAACAUACCUAAUGUAGGGUUCAAAGAAUAGGCUUUAUGACAUUAAUUUUUAAUUAAUUAAUUAUUUAAUUAAAGGUUGUAAGUAGUAUUAUUUUGUAUGAACCACAUAGUGCACUAUUUGUGCUAUUUCCAAUGUUACUGAAAUAACCUUUGCUUUAGUAGUAAAGAAUAUUGAGUCACACAUUGAUAAUUUUUUAGAUUUUUAUGUCCGUAAAACCCUUUAUCGAUAUGCUUCGCAAGGUCCCCUUUGCAUAUAGGUACUAUCGAGGUUAGUUCUAAGUAAUAUGUCUGAUCACCCAAUGAUAUGUCCCAAACAAAGUAGGUAUAUACUUACUUGUUUCAUGCGGGUAUUGGGUCAUCGGUGAUGGUAAUAUAAAUUAAAACGAUGUAAUUCCCAAAAUGGACCUCUGUGGUACAUCGCAUGGUGAACUGAAAUAAUUCUUCAUUUUCUGUACUUAAAUAACUUUGUAUUGAUUUGAAUAAAAAUGACAUCCAGUGUGAUAAAUGAUAUACCUUUAAACAAAUUUACCUACUUUGCAUUAGAAAUGAUUGUUCAUUAUUAUUAUUCUUGGAAAGCCCUCGCUCUACUGGCUGUGGUUUGAGACCAAAUCCUUUUAAACGCAUAGGGUUAUGUAUGCAUAUUAACCCACCCCAGGUUCGAAGAUAUUAUGACAGAUUUUAAGGCAAAGUGGAAACGUUGAAAUCCCAUCAUUAAAACACAGAUCCCGCUUAAAUUUGAAACAAAAGAAUGACACGUGAUCGGAUAGUCUAUGGUAGGGCUUAAAGCUUAAAAAAAUAGCUUUCUUUCCAUGGCGAUUGAAAAGAUAUUUUACAAUUGUAUAAAAUAUAAACUUCAUGGCAAAUAAUACCUGUAAUGCAGAAGCUAAACUCAUAAGUGGCGAUACUUAUUUUUUAGUUCAUGUAGGCAGUGUGCUUUUUGAUUGUCUAUUAUUUGUGAAAAUUGUUAUAUAUACCUAACAGUUUGCAAAUAAUAUUAACCAUUUAUGAUACUCAUUUUGACAUGUCGUUCAUUGGUUUGGCAAAUUUCUAAUUAUGCAUUGAUAUUAGAAUAGAAUUCUUUCGAUAUGCCUUGGAUACUUUUUGUAUGGAGAUGCUGUACUCGGCACGUAAGAAGGCGAAAGAUCACCCGCUGUGGUCUUCUUACGUGCCGGUACUAGUACCCUUCAAAAACUGCACUUUCAUAUAUUAUAGUGAUCUACUUUUGGCUGCAAUUUUAUGUUUUGGAGAUUUAUUUCAAAAUUGAUGAAAGGGAGGUGGGAGGGACAAAAUUCAAAAUUUAAAGAUUUUCUGUACAUUCAUCCAUACGAAAUAUACUAAACUCGUCGAGUACAAAUUCUAAUAAUCAGACAGCCACGAAAACAAAGUUGAUUCGUGUUGGGUGUCAUAAAUGUAAAAAAUAAAAUUUGUUCAACACCAAACAAAUAAAAAUGGCACCAAUCAUAAAUCAUGCCCCAUUUUUGAACAAAAAGCUGUUGUCAUCAUUCGUAUGACCGUCAGUAAUUAGUAGGCCGUUAAAAAUUAUAAACACCAAUUCAAAUUAUAAAAUAUUCACCCCAAACUCUUGCUUUACUCGCGCUUACUCUUCCUAUAAAGCGGUACAUAUGCAAUUUUACGUAUAUCUAAAAUUCGAAAAAAUGCGGGCUCCCCUUACAGUAUACUCUUUUCGUGAGGUCACCUGGCAAGUACGGUAUUACUUUAAUUUUGCUUGCUAUAAAUAUCAUUGUUCGUCAUUCGUCAAAGCUACACUAGAUUCCAUUUGUCUUGAUGUAUUUUCCUUUUACCAAUCCCAGCAACUAUACAAAUACGAAAACGUUUUAUUUCCGUAUUUUACCCAACGCUUAUAAUAUGUUAUCAGUAGCAUUGUUUAAUACAUUACAUUUAGUUUGCGAAUGGUUACAAGAGGUUUGUUUCUUGAGACUUUUCAGUUUAGAUGCUAAAGUUGCCAUCAGAAUGUGUGUUUACGUAACAGCGGAGAGUGUACUGGAGCCCCCACGGAUGAUUUUAAAAUAAUUUAUACAAAAUGCGCGUUUUCAGGCUAUAAAUGAAAAAUUAAGCGGUUCCAGUCAAGAGUCGUUAUACUUACCUCUUAAAUUUAAAAUGCACCACUUCCAAUGGUUUUUAUGCGCAAUAAUAAUUAAGACCAAAACAGAUAAAAUGCCUUGAAAUUUUGCACGACAUCAAGUCGAUUAUUAAUUUUAAUUGUAGGUUAAAGUGUGAUAUGAUCACUGACCUGAAUAAAAAAAGAGGCCAUUCUGGAUAUGAUAGAUUAUUUUAAAAUAGUGCAACACUAGCAUUUAUGAAAGAAGAACUGACAGAAGGCAAAAUAAUUAAUUUAUUAAAAUAAAAUUAAAAUCGUAAGUGUGCCCAGUAAAUUGUAAAAAAUUCAAGUUUGUAUAGGUUACUUUGGAAUAUACUUUGAUAAAUAAAUAAAUUGAUGAAAGGGAGGUGGGAGGGACAAAAUUCAAAAUUUUUUAUUAAUUAAAUUACGUUCAUUUUAAAUUUUAUCUAAGUAAUUCGGUCAAAAGAAAUAAGCGCUAGAAAUGUGCUAGAAAUAAUGUCAAUAUGAAUGGUCAAUGAGUCACAAUAAUAUAAGGAACUGAUUGUUUGAAUCUAAAACAUGUAGAAUGUUCGCUUGUAAUAAUUGCAAGUGGUUCUUCAUUAUUAAUAAUUAUUAAAGCAAUGUAUCGAAUUAUCUGUUUAACGAUUUUUUUUCUGUCUAGUCUCCUUUCUGAUGAAAUGCUCACUGAACCACCAGGAGAACCGAUGGAAAAACCGUGGAUCGAGUUGCUAACAUCCGGAUUUGAAAUCUGCGACGCACGACCCUUAGAUCUCUACAUUGUCUACACCUGAAAUCAGGAGUCCACGGCCCUGCGUCAUUGAUUUUACACAAGUUUUUUUAAUCAAUUUCGCACUCUUUAUAGAUAGAUGUGACAGUGCUUUAACGUGUAGGUCUGCGUAUGUUUAAAAUUGAUUCACAAAUCAAUGACGCAGCGCCACAGACUCCUGAUUUCAAGAGUACAUCAUCAAACUGCUCGAUUUCCUUGCCUCUUUCCAACUGAAUUGUCAGAUCUAGUAACAGGGCCGUUUUCUUCUCCCUACCGAUCAGCAAGAUAUCGAGGCGUUGGUUUGAGCCGUAUUCCGAGUAGUACGGAAUUCCUUGGUGCACUACAAAAUCUUGGUCGCGGAAUGCAUUGAUGUACGGUCAUUGACAAAAGUAAUGAUCGCCUAAUAGGUAAACUCUGCAGCAUGAACAACCACAUGCCCAUCACAUCGGGUUCCACCGGCUUCUUUAAGGAGAAGAUGCCUUCAUUUGUUGGUUGCACAAUAUAUUCAAAUGUUGGCUGCGUAUGCUGCACGAUUUACCUAUUCGACGAUCAUUACUUUUGUCAAUGACUGUAACAUGUGUUGCGUUUAUUAAAUAUGUGUUUCAUGUUUCAAAGGUUUGACAUUAUAGUCCGAGAGCUGGUAGACAUUUAAGGGUACGUAUUUGAGGCACGCUGAAAACUUGUCCAACACUUCUCCAAGAAUCCCCAAACACAGAAAUGCAGACCUGGUUGAGGAGUGGCGGGGCUAACACUUUGCAAGUGCCCUUCGAAGUUGGAAAAAAAUAAUGUUAUUGAUUUGUGAAUCAAUUUCAGACAUAUUUAGACAUACGCUAAAACCCUGCAACAACUAUCAAGUAGGUAUGCGAAAUCGAUAAAAAACUUGUCUGAAAUUGAUUGACAAAUCAAUGACGCAGGGCCAAGGGAUUCCUGAUUUGAAGUGUAUACUGGCCGCAAUAAAUACAUGAACACCUAGUGUAGGUACUUCGAUCACUUUUGACGAUAGUUUCAGGAGAAUUGUCUUUAUUUCGGUAUAAGAAGAUCAUCCCUACGCAUUCAGAUACUCGACUGGGCAUAGGUACAUUCUUUUUUCAAACUUUGAAGGCGCCUGGCAAGGUGUUAGCCCCGCUUCUCCUCAGCCAGGUCUGCAUUUCUGUGUUUGGGUAUUAUUGGAGAAGUCAAGAAGUGGUGGACAAGUUUUCAGCGUGCCUCAAAUACUUACCCAAAAAUGUUUACCAGCCCUCCUACUAUUAUUACCUACAUAAUAUUUGAUACAAUACAUAAUUGUCUAUAUCGUAAUCGUUUCUAUGACGUUUAUUUCAUGAAUAAAUGACAAAAACAUUUUACCUA